CGACAAUGUGUAUUCUUUGAUAUGAGACUAGUUCCUCUCUGCAACAUCGUUGCCAUCCUAUCAACAAAAUUAAUCAUUUUUCUAGUUGAUGAGAGGGAGAAAUUUUUCUUGAUUGAUGAGUUCGGCCGAUUUGAGGUAGGGGUUGGUUCCAUAGUGAACAAAUUGAAUUUUAUUGUUGUUGCCGAGUUUAAUGCUGCUGGAUUACUAUAGUUGAACAGUGGGCUCGAGUUGAAUGAUGCUGGAUGAGAAGAAAUCCAAGGUUGUUCCUGGUGCGGCACCAGCAAUGGAAAGAAAUGGUGAAGUUCUGGCUACUCUGUUGCGGGUUGUUCUCUGUUGCUGUUGGUGACACAAUGCCAUCAAUACCGGGUCCUUCCUCCUCCCCGGCCUUCCUAUAUUUUGUUUACAAGUCAAAAACUUCCUACCAAUUCAUAAUAACUAAGAUUGAAAAUAGUUUUUUCGUUUAAGGGAAAUAUUGUUCCAACCAAAUACCCUUUCAAUCACUCCACCUUUUUUUUUUCAGAAAUGACAGUUUGAAUAUUAAAAGUAU